AACGAACGCUGGCGGCAUGCUUAACACAUGCAAGUCGAACGCUUCUGUUGGCUUCGGCCUUCAGAAGAGUGGCGCACGGGUGAGUAGCGCGUGGGAACCUGCCCUGUGUGGGGGAUAACCGAGGGAAACUUCGGCUAAUACCGCAUACGCCGGCUGUCUUGAAAGAGAUGGCCGGGAAAGAUUUAUCGCCGAGGGGAUCGGCCCGCGUCUGAUUAGCUUGUGGUGAGGUAACGGCUCACCAAGGCGACGAUCAGUAGUCUGGUCU
rnacentral:rRNA from 1 species